AACGAACGCUGGCGGCAGGCUUAACACAUGCAAGUCGAGCGCCCCGCAAGGGGAGCGGCAGACGGGUGAGUAACACGUGGGAAUCUACCCAUCCCUACGGAACAACUCCGGGAAACUGGAGCUAAUACCGUAUACGCCCUUUGGGGGAAAGAUUUAUCGGGGAUGGAUGAGCCUGCGUCGGAUUAGCUAGUUGGUGGGGUAGAGGCCUACCAAGGCGACGAUCCGUAGCUGGUCUGAGAGGAUGAUCAGCCACACUGGGACUGAGACACGGCCCAGACUCCUACGGGAGGCAGCAGUGGGGAAUAUUGGACAAUGGGCGCAAGCCUGAUCCAGCCAUGCCGCGUGAGUGAUGAAGGCCUUAGGGUUGUAAAGCUCUUUCGCCAGGGACGAUAAUGACGGUACCUGGAUAAGAAGCCCCGGCUAACUUCGUGCCAGCCGCCGCAGUAAUAC
rnacentral:rRNA from 1 species